rnacentral:rRNA from 1 species
UACGGGGGGGGCAAGCGUUGUUCGGAAUUACUGGGCGUAAGGGGCUCGUAGGCGGCCCACUAAGUCAGCCGUGAAAUCCCUCGGCUUAACCGGGGAACUGCAUCUGAUACUGGAUGGCUUGAGUUCGGGAGAGGGAUGUGGAAUUCCAGGUGUAGCGGUGAAAUGCGUAGAUAUCUGGAGGAACACCGGUGGCGAAGGCGGCACCCUGGACCGACACUGACGCUGAGGAGCGAAAGCCAGGGGAGCAAACGGG